GAUGAACGCUAGCGACAGGCUUAACACAUGCAAGUCGAGGGGCAGCGAGGGCGUAGCAAUACGCCUGUCGGCGACCGGCGCACUGGUGAGUAACACGUAUGCGACCUGCCCCCUACAGGGGUAUAACCCGUAGAAAUGCGGACUAAUCCCCCAUAGUCCUGGGUGCUGCAUGGCAUUCAGGGGAAAGGCCAGCCGGUAGGGGAUGGGCAUGCGGCGCAUUAGCUAGUUGGCGGGGCAACGGCCCACCAAGGCGACGAUGCGUAGGGGUUCUGAGAGGAAGGUCCCCCACACUGGUACUGAGACACGGACCAGACUCCUACGGGAGGCAGCAGUGAGGAAUAUUGGUCAAUGGGCGCAGGCCUGAACCAGCCAAGUCGCGUGAGGGAGGACGGUCCUACGGAUUGUAAACCUCUUUUGUCGGGGAGUAACGUGCGGGACGCGUCCCGUAUUGAGAGUACCCGAAGAAAAAGCAUCGGCUAACUCCGUG
rnacentral:rRNA from 1 species